CCUACGGGCGGCAGCAGUGGGGGAUAUUGCACAAUGGGGGGAACCCUGAUGCAGCGACGCCGCGUGGGUGAAGGAGCGUUUCGGCGCGUAAAGCCCUAUCGGCAGGGAAGAAGGAGGACGGUACCUGACUAAGAAGCCCCGGCUAACUACGUGCCAGCAGCCGCGGUAAUACGUAGGGGGCAAGCAUUAUCCGGAUUUACUGGGUGUAAAGGGAGCGUAGACGGCAGUGCAAGUCCGGAGUGAAAGCCCGGGGCUCAACCCUGGGACUGCUCUGGAAACUGUAAAGCUGGAGUGCGGGAGGGGCAGGCGGAAUUCCUGGUGUAGCGGUGAAAUGCGUAGAUAUCAGGAGGAACACCGGCGGCGAAGGCGGCCUGCUGGACCGUAACUGACGUUGAGGCUCGAAAGCGUGGGGAGCAAACAGGAUUAGAUACCCCAGUAGUC
rnacentral:rRNA from 1 species